rnacentral:misc_RNA from 1 species
GGCGUGGCGGCGGCCGGGCAGGUGCUGCUGGCGCCCCUGCCGAUGGUCAUGCCAGACGCCAUGCUCGGCAACAGGAACUUGCCCUGUGGCUUACAGACGCGGAAGCUGCUCUUCCUUUCCGCCCUGUCUUGGCCGCCUUGGAUGACGGUGCCGGUCAUCUGCUCACCGGAAGCAACGAACAGUGCUGUGCGGGGAACAGCUUCACUUGGAGCCAGUUCCAGCUUCAGAGCCACUACCAGCUGAUCCUGCACCACUCAAUUCUGUUUACUUCAACUCAUGGAAGAUGUCAGAUGUACAUUUGCAUAGGCUGAGAAAAAUCAAUAAAAAGAGUGCAUUGCCAUACAAGGAGCUACCUUGAAAGAAAGGAAGGAGCUGGAGAGGUAGGUAACCUGCUCCUCUAACUUAUCAUUCUUGUCAGCUAUAUGCUCGUACUUUUC